AUGGACCACGCGUCCACUGCGGUUGUGAGCGCGCCGUCCGCGCACCCCUGACAGCGGCUCGCUCCGUUUCGUCAGCC
rnacentral:sRNA from 3 species